rnacentral:lncRNA from 1 species
GUGGCCGAGUGGUUAAGGCGAUGGACUGCUAAUCCAUUGUGCUCUGCACGCGUGGGUUCGAAUCCCAUCCUCGUCGACAAAUGUUUUUCCAACCAUUACUUCUGUAGGUGGUGUUUCUUAUCUACGAGUGUCUGCAAAAAGUACUUUACAUAUGAAUUAUAACAGCAUUUAUUUAUAUAAUGAAUUACAAAAGCAAGACAUAGGCAAAGGCUUUAUACAGCCUGGUCAUUUAGGCUAGUACUGGGCAUGCUGCAUUUCCAUGUAAAAAGCCCCAUAAGUACUAACGUGAAGUUGAUAGGAGCACAUAAUAUUUAUUGUGAAAUGAAAGCUAAAAUUCCAUAUGUUUUGGGGUGAUUUUGUCAGUCCAAAUCUGAACCAAUAUAUAAAAUGUUCAACCAUUUUACAUCCUAAAAGUUUGGAAUAAGCAAAGGCUUUGAUUUCUUGUCAGAUGGAAAAGGGGUUUUAGAAAACAUCUACCAGAAAAAAGACCCCUGCCAACUAAUAACAACAUGCAUAUUGCAAAAUAUCUCAAUGCCACAUUUUGAAUCUCUUGGUCUUGUCUCAGUGUCCGUCUUAACUCGGUUUCGGGGGUGUGCAUGCCAGCAAGUAGAAAAACAUGUUGACUCGCCCUACUUGUAGAGAAAUGCCAAUGCCAUCCUCCUUUCUUUCAUGUUGCCAAAACUGUCUACCACUAUGUCAUACAGUACAUGCUUUAUUGUUUGUUGUCCUAGGAUACCUGAAUAAAAUGCUUGCUUGCGAGCCUAAUUUCCAUUCAUGGGCAACUUUAGCUAGUUAACAUUAGCCUUCUACAUCUACUAGAUGAUCUAGUUACAUAUUAAACUUCCAUCUUCUCAGGCCAAGAGCACAACAAUGUAUGAAUUUAUGGUUAGAUCAGAAUCACUGUUAUAAUCAUUGGCCAGUACGGAGAAUUAAGUAAAACCACAAGUCCAAAUCCUUAUCUCCAUCCAUGCCUAAUUUAGGAAAGGGGUAAUUUUAGCUAGCUAGCUAGCCACCAGAGUACAACAACACAACAAGAUGCAACAAUUCAAGUUGUUUCUGUCAAUGACAUUAUGCUCUCAAUGCAAUUUGAUAGGCGAG